GCCGGGUGUGGUGGCGCACACCUGUAAUCCCAGCAGCUUGGGAGGCUGGGGCAGGAGAACCAAAGCCAGCCUCAGCAAAAGCAAAGCACUAAGCAGCUCAGUGAGACCCUGUUUCUA
rnacentral:sRNA from 1 species